rnacentral:rRNA from 1 species
UGCAUGUCUCAGUACAGACCGAUAAAAGGUGAAACCGCGAAUGGCUCAUUAAAUCAGUCGUAAUCCACGGGAGUUUGACCCAGUCUUACUUGGAUAACCGUGGUAAUUCUAGGGCUAAUACACGCAACUGAGCUCCGACCCUGCUUCGGUGGGGGUAAGGGCGCCUUUAUUAGUACGCAAAUCGAUCCAUUCCUCUUUUGGUUGGAUGGUUGUGAUGACCCUGGAUAACCUAGCCGAGCGCUCAGGUCCUCGUGACCCGCGCCGCAUCCUUCGAGCGACUGCCUUAUCAGCUAUAUCGUAGGGUAUUGGCCUACGAUGGCUGUGACGGGUAACGGGGAAUCAGGGUUCGAUUCCGGAGAGGGAGCCCGAGAAACGGCUACCACAUCUAAGGAAGGCAGCAGGCACGCAAAUUACCCACUCCCAGUUCGGGGAGGUAGUGACGAAAAAUACUGAUGCGGGACUCGUUCCGAGGCCUCGCCAUCAGAUUGAGCUCAGUCUAAACCAUUGGACAAGUUUCGACUGGAGGGCAAGUCUGGUGCCAGCAGCCGCGGUAAUUCCAGCUCCAGUAGCGUAUGCUAAAGUUGCUGCGGUUAAAAAGCUCAUAGUUGGAUCUCACGGCCGGAACGGCGGCCCACUAAAGGUUUCGACCAGCGCCGAGGCUAGUCGGUGUACUCGUUACGCUUGGCUUCCGCGGUUUGCUUGCGUCUGCCUGGUGGUCAACUGUCCGUCUCCGGCUCGAGACUCCCGCUGGUUCGCGAGGGAUGCCUUGUCUUGUACGGGUGUCCCGAGUGACCGGCACGUUCACUUUGAAUAAAUUAGAGUGCUCAAAGCAGGCAAAGUCUUAUGCCUGAAUGAUGGUGCAUGGAAUGAUGGAACAGGACCUCGGUUCUGCUCUUUGGUCGAUUUUUUGGAAUCGAGGUAAUGAUUAAAAGAAACAGACGGGGGCAUUCGUAUUGCGACGCUAGAGGUGAAAUUCUUGGACCGUCGCAAGACGAACUACUGCGAAAGCAUUUGCCAAGAAUGUUUUCCUUAAUCAAGAACGAAAGUUAGAGGAUCGAAGGCGAUCAGAUACCGCCCUAGUUCUAACCAUAAACGAUGCUACCUGGCGAUCCGUCGGCGUCAUACCCACGACUCGACGGGGAGCCUCCGGGAAACCAAAGGCUUUGGGUUCCGGGGGAAGUAUGGUUGCAAAGCUGAAACUUAAAGGAAUUGACGGAAGGGCACCACCAGGAGUGGAGCCUGCGGCUUAAUUUGACUCAACACGGGGAAACUUACCAGGUCCAGACACCGAAAGGAUUGACAGAUUGAGAGCUCUUUCUCGAUACGGUGGUUGGUGGUGCAUGGCCGUUUUUAGUUGGUGGAGCGAUCUGUCUGGUUGAUUCCGAUAACGAACGAGACUCUACCCUACUAACUAGUCGGCGGAUCGUCUCCCGAGACGGUGGCCCCGGGUAAUACGCCUCCUCCGUCAGCGUGGUGUCUCGGUUGUGGAAAAUCCUGAUGCCCUCCAUCCUCUCCUCGUCGGUGCCUUUCGGGGUUCCUGGUGAGGUAGGGCGGUGGUGUGGUUUGAUGGCAACGCCCAUCGGGUCCGCCUCGUUCGACCGGUCGGAGAAACGGUCCCGUGGUGUCCUCCAACGAGGGGCGUCCGUCGCAGCGUCUUCUUAGAGGGAUCGGCGGCGUUUAGUCGCACGAAAGAGAGCAAAAACAGGUCUGUGAUGCCCUUAGAUGUUCUGGGCCGCACGCGCGCUACAAUGUAGUGUGCAGCGUGUCGUCCUACUCCGAAAGGAGCGGGUAACCCUUUGAAACCAGUACCCGGUAGGGAUUGGGGCUUGAAAAUGUUUCCCAUGAACGAGGAAUUCCUAGUAAGCGCAAGUCAUCAGCUUGCGUUGAUUAAGUCCCUGCCCUUUGUACACACCGCCCGUCGCUACUACUGAUUGAAUGAUUCAGUGAGGGCAUUGGACUGGCGCCCGAGGUUAGUCUUCGAUUCGUUUCGGCGGUCGUACGGCGCCUAGGGUCGACGGGAAGAUGUCCGAACUCGAUCAUUUAGAGGAAGUAAAAGUCGUAACAAGGUUUCC